CAUGAGCAGGGAAAAAAGAAAGGGAUAUGGGCAUGCAGUGAGAAGCACAAAGGUCACAACCUCAUAAACAGUCGCUGGUUCUCUUUGUCCCUUUCAUCAACUGCCUCUCUCUCCCUCUCCUCUGCUUGCUUCCGUUGUUAUAGGGAUUCAAAGCAUGACCAGCUCCUCCGCCGCAACCCGCAAGGCACUGAGUAAGAUUGCUUGCAAUCGCCUUCAGAAAGAACUGGUAGAGUGGCAGGUCAACCCUCCUGCUGGAUUCAAACACAAAGCCACCGAUAAUCUUCAAAGGUGGGUAAUUGAAGUAAAUGGAGCUCCUGGAACCCUCUACGCUAACGAGACCUACCAACUUCAAGUUGACUUCCCAGAGCACUACCCUAUGGAAGCCCCUCAGGUUAUUUUUCUUCAUCCGGCUCCCCUGCACCCACAUAUUUAUAGCAACGGCCAUAUUUGUUUAGAUAUAUUAUAUGAUUCAUGGUCCCCUGCAAUGACUGUUAGUUCUGUCUGUAUCAGCAUUCUGUCAAUGCUGUCAAGCUCAACUGUGAAGCAACGCCCUGAAGACAAUGAUCGCUAUGUAAGGAACUGUAGAAAUGGCAGAUCUCCGAAGGAGACUAGGUGGUGGUUCCAUGAUGAUAAAGUGUAAUAUCUGAGGACAACAAAAACACAUGGGGAUGCAUUCUGAAAAGAAGAUCAUUCUGAAUGUGCAUGGUCUCCUGUAAAUGGCAAUGCCUGGUGUGUAAAGGAAGAGGAACAAUGUCUUUAGUAACAAAUGAGGAACAAACUUGGUUCUCUGGUUACUUUACAAGAUUCUGCACCUUAUGGCGCUGUGUUUUAUGGGUUUCACGGCCAUGGUCUUACAAAAGAACACCAGUUUGAAUUUGUCAAUUGUGGUCAUCAGGUUUCUCUUGGGAGAGUAUGCAAUUUUAGGGCACAUUUUCACGGUACCUGGAUUUUUAAUAUUAUUAAGCGUUAGCUUUCUCUGCUCAACAAAUCAGUGUAAAUGAGAAGGGUGUUUUCCGUUGCCUUUAUGCUAGCUGGAUGUGUCUGCUCUCAAUUUUCGCAGUUCCUAAUUAACACGCGAGGUAUGCUAACGCUUAGAAUGACCGAACGGACCGGAGUGUUAACGCAACAAAAAAUGCAGGAGUAACUAAUGUAAUCAUGAAAGGGGAGCCCCACCAGAGAAGGGUCUGGAGAAAGAGAAGAGAGAGAAAAGAGCAGUGAUAGGGACAUCCGUUUGUUUUCGUGUUUUCGGCGGCGGGAGGAAGCUUUGGACUCCGUUUUUUUUCUGUUAGGUGAUAUAUAAUUUAUUUUGUUUUAAAUAGACUUCAUUUGAUUUUAUUUCAGAUUGUAUUUGUUUGAUUCUCAUUUAAAUUUGUUUUAAUCGGCAUUGAGGGACCUGCAAA